rnacentral:rRNA from 1 species
AUUGAACGCUGGCGGCAUGCUUUACACAUGCAAGUCGAACGGUAACAGGCCGCAAGGUGCUGACGAGUGGCGAACGGGUGAGUAAUGCAUCGGAACGUGCCCAGUCGUGGGGGAUAACGCGGCGAAAGCUGUGCUAAUACCGCAUACGAUCUAUGGAUGAAAGCGGGGGAUCGCAAGACCUCGCGCGAUUGGAGCGGCCGAUAUCAGAUUAGGUAGUUGGUGGGGUAAAGGCUCACCAAGCCGACGAUCUGUAGCUGGUCAGAGAGGACGACCAGCCACACUGGGACUGAGACACGGCCCAGACUCCUACGGGAGGCAGCAGUGGGGAAUUUUGGACAAUGGGCGCAAGCCUGAUCCAGCAAUGCCGCGUGCAGGAUGAAGGCCUUCGGGUUGUAAACUGCUUUUGUACGGAGCGAAAAGGCUCUCUCUAAUACAGGGGGCUCAUGACGGUACCGUAAGAAUAAGCACCGGCUAACUACGUGCCAGCAGCCGCGGUAAUAC